UUUAUAUGAGAGUUUGAUCCUGGCUCAGGAUGAACGCCGGCGGUGUGCCUAAUACAUGCAAGUCGAACGCGUUGGCCCAAUUGAUUGACGGUGCUUGCACCUGAUUGAUUUUGGUUGCCAACGAGUGGCGGACGGGUGAGUAACACGUAGGUAACCUGCCCAGAAGCGGGGGACAACAUUUGGAAACAGAUGCUAAUACCGCAUAACAGCGUUGUUCGCAUGAACAACGCUUAAAAGAUGGCUUCUCGCUAUCACUUCUGGAUGGACCUGCGGUGCAUUAGCUUGUUGGUGGGGUAACGGCCUACCAAGGCGAUGAUGCAUAGCCGAGUUGAGAGACUGAUCGGCCACAAUGGGACUGAGACACGGCCCAUACUCCUACGGGAGGCAGCAGUAGGGAAUCUUCCACAAUGGGCGCAAGCCUGAUGGAGCAACACCGCGUGAGUGA
rnacentral:rRNA from 2 species